UACGUAGGGGGCAAGCGUUGUCCGGAAUCAUUGGGCGUAAAGCGCGCGUAGGCGGCCCGGUAAGUCCGCUGUAAAAGUCCAGGGCUCAACCCUGGAAAGCCGGUGGAUACUGUCGGGCUAGAGUCCGGAAGAGGCGAGUGGAAUUCCUGGUGUAGCGGUGGAAUGCGCAGAUAUCGAGAGGAACACCUGCGGCGAAGGCGGGUUGCUGGGCCGACACUGACGCUGAUGCGCGAAAGCCAGGGGAGCGAACGGG
rnacentral:rRNA from 1 species